GCGCUCCUUUUGCAGCACAUAUACUAAAAUUGGAAUGAUACUGAGAAGAUUAGCAUGGUCCUUGUGCAAGGAUCCCAUGCAAAUUUGUGAAGUGUUCUAUAUUUUU
ensembl:snRNA U6 U6 spliceosomal RNA